rnacentral:rRNA from 1 species
CACGUAGGCGGAUAGGUCAGUCAGAUGUGAAAGCCCGGAGCUUAACUCCGGAACUGCAUUUGAUACUACUUGUCUUGAGUAUGGUAGAGGGGGGUGGAAUUCCCGGUGUAGAGGUGAAAUUCGUAGAUAUCGGGAGGAACACCAGAGGCGAAGGCGACCCCCUGGGCCAUAACUGACGCUGAGGUGCGAAAGCGUGGGGAGCAAAACA